rnacentral:rRNA from 1 species
UACGAAGGGGGCUAGCGUUGCUCGGAAUCACUGGGCGUAAAGCGCACGUAGGUGGACUCUUAAGUCGGUGGUGAAAUCCUGGAGCUCAACUCCAGAACUGCCUUCGAUACUGGGAGUCUCGAGUCCGAGAGAGGUGAGUGGAACUGCGAGUGUAGAGGUGAAAUUCGUAGAUAUUCGCAAGAACACCAGUGGCGAAGGCGGCUCACUGGCUCGGUACUGACGCUGAGGUGCGAAAGCGUGGGGAGCAAACAGG